UAGAUUAUUUUUGUUCUGCCAAAUGUUGCUGGUUAAAGAAUUGUCAGCUGGAGUGACAAGCCAGUUUGGGUACAGAGUUUGGAUUUAAUCUUAAAUCCAGAAACUAAUGGACUUCUCCCAAGAUGCACUACAUUGAAUGAUUCAUUGAAACAGGACAGAUAUCUACUCUCUUCACUUUUUUCUUUUUCUUUUCUUGCAGUAUAUUCCUAUAUGUUGUAGGAAGUGAGCCCAGGCCUUGGGAAUACAAUCCUCUCUAAAAUUACAUCACUUGUAAGCAAAACAUCCAAAUACACAUGGGUUUGAUUUUCUCGGUUUCUGUGAAAGUGUUUCACCCACUUAGAGGAGGGGAAAGGCUAAUAGAAGCCUGAAUAAGGUGUUAAAUUGUCCAUUCAGCCGCCCAACUCCCAAUUUGCACCUGUGAGGACACACGGAUGCUCCUGAGACACAUUUUCUCCUUCGCUUUUGUGGCAGAAGAUGCAUCUAGUCACGUGCUUCAGUUAGGUUGCUUAAUGUUCUUGCUGUUGUUUUAAUAUGAUCCGUAAGGCCAGUUGGAUGGGGGGGGGGGGAACCAGGUCAUAAGAAGUAUUGUGAGUGCUGAGGGUUUUGUGCAGUCUUGGCAACUGUUGCUAAGGGAACUGGAAUGCUGGGAGACUAACAGGUGGGGGCAGUGAAGGAGAGGAACAACAUUCAGCCAUGGAGAGGGGCACCACUGUGGUGAGUUUGUGGCGGCAAUGACAGAUUAUGCUCAAGUUCUUGGAGAGGCUGCAGUGAAGACUGAAGAGAACAGUGAUGUGAGAGAUAAAGGUUGUUGGAGGCUGGAGAUCAAGCAGCCUGCAACCACCAAGGAGCAGUGUGGAAGCAUCACUUCCCAAGACCAUCCAGGCAACUCCAUUGUAUCCAAAGGCAAAUAGGAGGUGCUGCUAAUGUCCUCCCACUCCUAGAGAAGAAAUGGUGGGGCUGCCCUCUGGGGUCUCCUGGGAGCUGCACCCACCUGGUGUAAUUUGAGUGUGCCCCUUCCCUCCAGUGAUAACCUUUGAUUUCAACUUCAACAGUCAAGUAACUUUGAUUUGACCCCUCCUCCCCCUUAUUCCCAGUGUAGAUUUUCACUUGCCCUUUCUUACCUUGUGUUAAACGUUUGGAAAAAGUCAGAAGCCCAAGGCAGUAUAAGUUCCUCAACUAAGUUUAUUCAACAUUUGUCAGUGACAACAGCUCACUCAUAGGAACACAAGAACCAAACUGACUGGACAACACAAUAAUAAACCCGAGCAUGAACUGACCGUUGACAGUUGAAAGUACAUGCGCAUACUUGCCAUUAGAACGUUCGUCUACCAAUGCAUAUACGAUUAGUUAGAACGUGUCUUGUAACAUAAAAUGUCUUAAACCCAAUACAUAACACUACUCCCCCCAACUCCCUAACAAAAGGAACAAACAUAGUCAUCAAGGUGUGCCAGCCUUUUCCACUCCCACUUGGACUGUCGCUGUUCCUGUGCCCGAGUGGGUGAAACAGGAGGUUCCUCCAGUACCCGCGGUCUGAGUGGGGCGAUCUGCGAGGCCAGCUCUGAAGGGGUCACUGCCAAUGGAGCCGCUGAGGAUUCUGGCCUGAAGUCACCCUGCUGGGGUAACUUAGUCACCAGCAACCCAUCUGGUUCCCACCCUGGCCUGAGCACAGAAUCUCCUGAAGUACCCAUUUCUCUGUCCUCUGGUUCCGCUUGAAGUUCCGUGUUCAGAGGUGCCCUGGCUCUGAUCUGGUUGAGGUGUCUCUUCCAAACCAGUCCCCCCUCCAACCCUACCUUGUAGGAAACCAGACCUGUACAGUGGGCAAUGAUACCAGGGACCCAACCCUGUCCGGGCCCAUCGUUUCAGAUGUACACAGUGUCCCCCGGGGAGAUCCCUCUUGGAGCCCCCCACACCACAGUGGAUGGCCGUUGCUCAAGAGCCUGGUCAGGGUGCAUACGAUCAAGGAGGGUAGUGAGCCUCCUCCCCAUAAGUAACUCCUCCAGGCUGGUCACUGCGCUUGGGGUGAUGUGUUGGGCCAAUAAGAACUCCGCUAGCCGGAGAGUCCAAUCUCCAUGCACUAUGCGCCUAAGCGCAUCAUUGGUAGUAAGGAUCAUGCGUUUAGCUUGGCCGUUAGUGGCUGGGUGAAAAGGAGCGGAAUGAAUGUGGCAGAUUCCAUUCUUGGUUACAAAUUCUUUGAAUUCCGCCGAAGUAAAAGCUGUCCCAUUAUCACUCACCAGUGUGUCUGGCAAGCUGUGUGCUGCGAAUAGCUUCCUGAGCACGUUUGUAGUCACUCUAGCGGACACAGUUGAGGUCGGCACCACCUCGAGCCACUUGGACUGAGAGUCAACCACUAUUAGGAAGUGUUGGCUGUGAAAAGACCCUGUGAAAUCCACGUGCACCCGGGACCAUGGGGAGUGAGUGGACUCCCAGGACUGUACUGGUACGUUGGGUGGAUCCAGCCAGGAGAUGUGGCAGGGCUCACAACAUUUCACCCAGCCCUCUAUCUCUGCAUCUAUGCCUGGCCACUACAAAUCGCUACGGGCCAAUUCCUUCAUCCAGACGAUCCCCAGGUGAGACAUGUGCAGCCCUUAUAAGACUUUUUUUCUUAAUCGGGGGGGGGGGGAGAGAGACUAUAACAUGGCUACCCCAUAACACGCAUCCUCGGUGAGUAGACAGCUCAUCCUUGCGGGCUGUGUAGCAUGAAAAUUCUGGACCCGGCUUCCCGGGCCACUCCCUCCCCACCCAGACCAAGAUGCGCGACAACAGCCUAUCCUUCGCGGUGGCGGCAGCAAUGUCCUUCGCAUGCAAGGGCUAGUCCGGUAAGUCUUCCAGUCGCAGGAUCUGUAGGGCAGGAGCUGGGUAAGGGCCACUCUCCGACAGCGGCAAGCAGCUGAGUACAUCUGCAUGACCCAUGGCUUUCCUGGGUCGGUGCUGUAGCCAGUAUUGGUAACCAGCCAGGAAAAUGGACCAGCACGAUACUCGUGGUGAAAGCAUCUGGGGCGUCUGGCGGUCGGGUACAAAGAGUCCCAGGAGUAGCUUAUGGUCGGUAAUGAUAGUGAAAGGCCGGCCAUAAAGGAAGUCGUGAAACUUUUUGACUCCCUUAACUAUUGCCAAACCCUCCUUGUUGAUCUGGGAGUAGUUGUGCUCCGCCGACGUGAGAUUUUGGCAGAAGUAAGCCACUGGAACUUCCCUCCCGUCCGGAAGCUGGUGGCCCAGUACUGCGCCCACUCCAUAAGGGGAAGCGUCGCAAGCCAGCACCACUGGAAGCUUUUCAUCGAAGUGUGGCCAACACUGUGUUGGACACAAGCAAGUCUUUGACCCCUUGGAAUGCCUUGACC
rnacentral:lncRNA from 1 species